GGGCAAGUCUGGUGCCAGCAGCCGCGGUAAUUCCAGC
rnacentral:rRNA from 16 species